rnacentral:lncRNA from 1 species
GGCUUCCGGUCACACCCAGCCUGGAACAGUGACUCCAAGCCACGUGCAGACGCUGAGCGAUGCCAAAUGAGGGCCACGUUGACCUUCAAGAGAGG